rnacentral:lncRNA from 1 species
UUGCAGCUCACCCUGAUUAGGCUUUGAGGGACUGUCUCUGCAAAAGCAGAGGAAGGAAGGACCGUGCAGCUGUGUAGAGUUGGAAUUGAUCCCUAAGGCUGGACAUGGGGCGGGAAAGCCCCAAGGCACUAAGACAAAGGGGGAAGGCAUGAAUGCCACGGACAUAUUUGGAGAUCAGAGGACAGCAUUCACGAGUCCUUCAAAAACAGGGCACUAGAAGAGUGUUCAACAUAGGACUGAUCGGGGCUGUCACACUACAGAGCUAUACCCCAGCCCACCUUAAGACUUUUAAUCCAGAAGGUUCUGAGGGGAAUUUCCCAACAAGGAAGCCAGUGACAGGCAGGGCUGGCUGACUGAAGUGCAAGCUGAAGGAGCAGAAGAGCAGGUUCUGUUCUGAGCCCCGGAACCAGCAUCAAGUUCCGGUGCUGCUGGCAAAGCUGUGACCUUGAAGCCAUUUCUCCAGGAG